rnacentral:rRNA from 2 species
UAGAGUUUGAUCCUGGCUCAGGAUGAACGCUGGCGGCGUGCCUAAUACAUGCAAGUCGAGCGAACAGAUGAGAAGCUUGCUUCUCUGAUGUUAGCGGCGGACGGGUGAGUAACACGUGGGUAACCUACCUAUAAGACUGGGAUAACUCCGGGAAACCGGGGCUAAUACCGGAUAAUAUAUUGAACCGCAUGGUUCAAUGUUGAAAGACGGUUUCGGCUGUCACUUAUAGAUGGACCCGCGCCGUAUUAGCUAGUUGGUAAGGUAAUGGCUUACCAAGGCAACGAUACGUAGCCGACCUGAGAGGGUGAUCGGCCACACUGGAACUGAGACACGGUCCAGACUCCUACGGGAGGCAGCAGUAGGGAAUCUUCCGCAAUGGGCGAAAGCCUGACGGAGCAACGCCGCGUGAGUGAUGAAGGUCUUAGGAUCGUAAAACUCUGUUGUUAGGGAAGAACAAAUUUGUUAGUAACUGAACAAGUNCUUGACGGUACCUAACCAGAAAGCCACGNGCUAACUNAC